UACGUAGGGGGCGAGCGUUGUCCGGAGUUACUGGGCGUAAAGGGCACGCAGGCGGUCGUACGCGUUUCGGGUGACAGCGGGUGGCUUAACUGCCCGAGUGUUCGAAAGACGGUACGACUUGAGGGCUCGAGAGGGACACGGAAUUCCGGGUGGAGUGGUGAAAUGCGUAGAGAUCCGGAGGAACACCGAAGGCGAAGGCAGUGUCCUGGCGAGUGACUGACGCUGAGGUGCGAAAGCCAGGGGAGCGAACGGG
rnacentral:rRNA from 1 species